rnacentral:pre_miRNA from 1 species
UUUUUAAAAGUCCUAUAGCCAAUUAGAAAUGAGCUUAUUCAUAAAAGUACAGUAUAAUCCAGUAAACCUGUAAUUUUAUGUAUAAGCUAGUCUCUGAUUGAAACAUGCAACAAAUGU